rnacentral:rRNA from 1 species
AAAAAGAGUGCGUAACAGCUCACUAGUCGAGUGAUCCCGCGUGGAUAAUAAUCGGGCAUAAGUCCGGUACCGAAGCCAUGGAAUCACGCCUAGGGCGUGAUUGGUAGGGGAGCAUUCCGUACAGCGGCGAAGGUCGGUGGCGAUGCCGGCUGGAGCGUACGGAAAAGCAAAUGUAGGUAUAAGUAACGAUAAUGGAGGCGAGAAACCUCCACGCCGAAAGACCAAGGUUUCCUGAUCAACGCUAAUCGGAUCAGGGUAAGUCGGGACCUAAGGGGCAGCCGCGAGGCGGACCCGAUGGAAGAAACGGUAAAGAUUCCGUUACUGUCGCCGGGAGUGAAGCGGGGACGGAGGAGUGACACCGCCGCGGACUGACGGAAUAGUCCGUUGAAGAGUGUAGGUAUUCGGAGGCCAGGCAAAUCCGGUCUCCGAGCUGAACUUGACAGUACUGCGAGCCUUCGGGCAAGCAGACAGCGCGGGUAAUCAGACUCCCAAGAAAAUCCGCUAAACAUAUGUCGGCGACACCCGUACCGAAACGGACACACGUGGUCGGGUAGAACAUACUAAGGCGCUCGAGAGAUUCACCGUUAAGGAACUAGGCAAAUUGACCUCGUAACUUCGGGAUAAGGGGUCCCACAGCGAUGUGGGCGCAGAGAAUAGGUCCAGGCAACUGUUUAACAAAAACACAGGGCUGUGCGAAAUUUAAAGAUGAAGUAUACAGCCUGACACCUGCCCGGUGCCGGAAGGUUAAGAGGAGAAGUCAUCGCAAGAGAAGCUUUGAAUUGAAGCCCCGGUAAGCGGCGGCCGUAACAAUAACGGUCCUAAGGUAGCGAAAUUCCUUGUCGGGUAAGUUCCGACCUGCACGAAUGGUGUAAUGAUCUGGACACUGUCUCAACGGUGAGCUCGGUGAAAUUGUAGUAUCGGUGAAGAUACCGAUUACCCGCAACGGGACGAAAAGACCCCGUGAACCUUUACUGCAGCUUAGCAUUGGGACCGGGUGCGUGAUGUGUAGGAUAGUCCGGAGACAGCGAAGCGGGGGCGCCAGCCCUCGCGGAGUCGACGUUGAAAUACGGACCUUUGCGCAUCUGGUCUCUAACUCGCGGAAAGCGAGGACACUGCUUGGUGGGUAGUUUGACCGGGGUGGUCGCCUCCAAAAGAGUAACGGAGGCUUCUAAAGGUGCCCUCAGACCGAUUGGUAACCGGUCGCAGAGUGUAUGGCAUAAGGGCGCUUGACUGAGAGGACGACAAUCCGAACAGGUAGGAAACUAGGGCAUAGAGAUCCGGCGGUACCGCAUGGAAGGGCCGUCGCUCAAAGGAUAAAAGGUACUCCGGGGAUAACAGGCUGAUCCCUCCCAAGAGCUCAUAUCGACGGAGUGGUUUGGCACCUCGAUGUCGGCUCGUCACAUCCCGGGGCUGGGGAAGGUCCCAAGGGUUAGGCUGUUCGCCUAUUAAAGUGGCACGCGAGCUGGGUUCAGAACGUCGUGAGACAGUUCGGUCUCUAUCUGUUGUGGGCGCGGGAGAUUUGCGGGGAUCCGACACUAGUACGAGAGGACCGUGUUGGACCGACCUCCGGUGAGCCGGUUGUACUGCCAGGUGCACGGCCGGGUAGCCGCGUCGGGGACGGAUAAGUGCCGAAAGCAUCUAAGCACGAAGCCAACCUCAAGAUAAGAUCUCCAUACAGGGCCGUCGAAGACGACGACGUCGAUAGGCUGCAGGUGUAAAGUCAGUGAUGGCAAAGCCGAGCAGUACUAAUUGCCCU